rnacentral:rRNA from 1 species
CCGCGGGAUUAGAGUUUGAUCCUGGCUCAGAACGAACGCUGGCGGCAGGCCUCAAACAUGCAAGUCUAGGGGGUGUAGCAAUACAUCACCGGCGGACGGGUGCGUAACGCGUGGGAAUAUACCUAUUGGUUCGGAACAACUGAGGGAAACUUCAGCUAAUACCGGAUGAGCCCGAAAGGGGAAAGAUUUCUCGCCAAUGGAUUAGCCCGCGUCCGAUUAGCUAGUUGGUGGGGUUAUGGCCUACCAAGGCGACGAUCGGUAGCUGUUCUGAGAGGAAGAUCAGCCACACUGGGACUGAGACACGGCCCAGACUCCUACGGGAGGCAGCAGUUGGGAAUCUUGGACAAUGGGGGAAACCCUGAUCCAGCCAUGCCGCGUGAGUGAUGAAGGCCUUCGGGUUGUAAAACUCUUUCGACGGGGACGAUAAUGACGGUACCCGUAGAAGAAGCUCCGGCUAACUUCGUGCCAGCAGCCGCGGUAAUACGAAGGGGGCUAGCGUUGUUCGGAAUUACUGGGCGUAAAGCGCGCGCAGGCGGUCUUCCAAGUCAGUGGUGAAAGCCCGGAGCUCAACUCCGGAACUGCCAUUGAAACUGUGAGACUUGAGUACGAGAGAGGUGAGUGGAAUUCCCAGUGUAGAGGUGAAAUUCGUAGAUAUUGGGAAGAACACCGGUGGCGAAGGCGGCUCACUGGCUCGUAACUGACGCUCAGGCGCGACAGCGUGGGGAUCAAACAGGAUUAGAUACCCUGGUAGUCCACGCCGUANACGAUGAAUGCUAGCCGUUGGAUAGCUUGCUAUUCAGUGGCGCAGCUAACGCAUUAAGCAUUCCGCCUGGGGAGUACGGC